rnacentral:rRNA from 1 species
GCUUGCGACCAGACCUGCGCGGGGACGAUCAACGGCCGUUCUCGGCCGUGCACUCGCCCCCGAUCAGGCCAGCAUCGGUUCGGGCGGUCGGACAAAGGCCGCGGGAAUGUAGCUCCCCCCGGGGAGUGUUAUAGCCCGUGGUGCAAUGCGGCCAGCCCGGACCGAGGACCGCGCUUCGGCAAGGAUGCUGGCGUAAUGGUCGUCAGCGA